rnacentral:rRNA from 1 species
UACGAAGGGGGCUAGCGUUGCUCGGAAUCACUGGGCGUAAAGCGCACGUAGGCGGCUUGUUAAGUCAGGGGUGAAAUCCUGGAGCUCAACUCCAGAACUGCCUUUGAUACUGGCGAGCUUGAGUUCGGGAGAGGUGAGUGGAACUGCGAGUGUAGAGGUGAAAUUCGUAGAUAUUCGCAAGAACACUAGUGGCGAAGGCGGCUCACUGGCCCGAUACUGACGCUGAGGUGCGAAAGCGUGGGGAGCAAACAGG